rnacentral:rRNA from 1 species
UACGUGUGGGGCAAGCGUUGUUCGGAAUUACUGGGCUUAAAGGGUGCGUAGGCGGUUUUUUAAGUCAGGGGUGAAAGUCGGUGGCCCAACCAUCGAAUUGCCUUUGAUACUGAUUAACUUGAGUGUGUUAGGGGAGAGCGGAACGUGUAGUGUAGCGGUGAAAUGCGUAGAUAUUACACGGAAGGCCGGAGCCGAAGGGGGCUCUCUGGGACACAACUGACGCUGAGGCACGAAAGCGUGGGGAGCAAACAGG